rnacentral:rRNA from 1 species
UACCUGGUUGAUCCUGCCAGUAGUCAUAUGCUUGUCUCAAAGAUUAAGCCAUGCAUGUGUAAGUAUGACUAAAUUCAGACUGUGAAA